rnacentral:lncRNA from 1 species
CUAACUAAUCUUAUAAUUAUUUACACUUACACCAUUAAGUUCCCAAUUUAGGAUUUUAUACACCGAAUUAGGAUUUCGGAUUUCCGGAACUGAAAUUAGGGUUUCCAGAACCAGUUUCUAGGGUUUCUUAGAAUUCAUAACGGUUUUAUACCUGAACGUUGUCGUUCUUAAUAUAUACUUAGGGUUUGUUACAGAUAUCGUUUAUCUGGUCAACCCUUGACCCUUAACCACAUACUGUACAUAUAUACACAGAACAUAUUCACUUAUUCCUUAAUCCUGAAUAAUUCGCCUAAAUCUUUCACAGAAUUUUAAAACCCUUAAAAUUCCUUCUCAAAAAUAUCAAACGCAUACACUUAUUUUCUGUCUAGGUUCUAAUUUCGAACCUUAAAUUAAUUAAUAAAAUUUUUAAAAAUAUUCUAAAUUCUCGGUUUGUCACAGCAUACGCUGAACUGCUCAUUCAAUUCCUAUAUAACACAUAAGGAGAAAACAUAAACACCAAUUAGUCAUAUAUUGAACUUACGCAUUGGUUUACUUAACUUUACUUAUUAGGGUUUGCGUUCUUGCAAUAUAAGUUUAUGCGACUAACUUCCUUUACCAAUUUACGGCUUUAUGACAUACGGAGAUGUCUUACUUACGUUCAUCAUCUUGGAUGAUUUAUAUUCUUAUCUUAUCCGAACCAUUAAACUUAAUGUUCGUUAAAUCAAUUUCUUAUUCUUUACGGCUUUCUAGCAACUAAAUAUCAUACCUUAAGAUUCAUUCCUUAUCGACUCACAUUCGGCUUUCAUUAAUCUUAUUACCGUUUGUUACUGCUUUCGUGAUAAUUUCUAUUUUAUUAAUACUUUCGUUAUCCAUUAUAUGAACCCCAUGUUCAUUACCCUCGAUGCUCAACGUCUAAGGAAUCACAACCAUAGCAAUCCCUCGCGUUCGUUCAUCGCGACUACGGUCCCCGGAUAUCAGUUACGUAACCUGCGUUUUAUAUUC